GCCUGGGUGGCUCAGUCAGUUGAGCGUCUGACUUUAACUCAGGUCAUGAUUUCAACAUCCCGGAUCAAACCCCACAGGCU
rnacentral:tRNA from 1 species